rnacentral:rRNA from 1 species
UACGAGGGGGGCGAGCGUUGUUCGGAAUUAUUGGGCGUAAAGGGUGCGUAGGCGGCCUGACAAGUCUGAUGUGAAAUCCCUGGGCUCAACCCAGGGCCUGCAUCGGAAACUGUCGGGCUUGAGUAUGGGAGAGGUGAGUGGAAUUCCGGUGUAGCGGUGAAAUGCGUAGAUAUCGGAAGGAACACCUGUGGCGAAAGCGGCUCACUGGACCAUUACUGACGCUGAGGCAC